rnacentral:misc_RNA from 1 species
CCCUUGUGGAGGAGGACGCCGAAGGUGGGGCUAAUGACUGGGGUGAAGUCGUAACAAGGUAGCCGUACCGGAAGGUGCGGCUGGAUCACCUCCUAACAGGGAGACAACAAAAUGUUUAAUAUUAUUAUUUUGUCACCUUAGGUCGAUCGGUAUCUCACAUUCUUAAUUACUUUAAGGAUUUCAUUUCCUAAGUUUUUCUAGGUCACACCCAUUAUUUUUCCUGGGCCAUUAGCUCAGGUGGUUAGAGCGCACCCCUGAUAAGGGUGAGGUCCCUGGUUCAAGUCCAGGAUGGCCCAUAUCUCUAUGUUGGGGGUAUAGCUCAGUUGGUAGAGCGCCUGCUUUGCAAGCAGGAUGUCAGCGGUUCGAGUCCGCUUACCUCCACUGAUUACCACCUCUUCCAUAAUUUGGAGAAAGGAAAUUUUUUGAGUUGUGAUCAAAUUCUGAACGAAUCUAGCUUCCUAAUUAUCUUUAUUAAGAUGCUGGACUCAUUGAAUAAAUUUCAUUGUUUUCAGAGAACCUUGACAACUGCAUAGAUUAUUUUUAAAGACAAUAAGCAUCUUUAAUGAUGCAGAUUUAUUAUUUGUGCGAAUGCAUUAAUAACAAUUCUAUUAAGCUGAUGCUUCAAUUAUGAAGUUAUUGGUCAAGCUACAAAGGGCUCACGGAGGAUACCUAGGCACACAGAGGCGAUGAG